rnacentral:rRNA from 1 species
CGAACGGGUGAGUAACGCGUGAGGAACCUGCCUCAAAGAGGGGGACAACAGUUGGAAACGACUGCUAAUACCGCAUAAGCCCACAGGUCGGCAUCGACCAGAGGGAAAAGGAGCAAUCCGCUUUGAGAUGGCCUCGCGUCCGAUUAGCUAGUUGGUGAGGUAAUGGCCCACCAAGGCAACGAUCGGUAGCCGGACUGAGAGGUUGAACGGCCACGUUGGGACUGAGACACGGCCCAG